CAAAUAUAAAAGGAUUUUUCUUGGCUGGGUUUUGGGCUUUAUUUACACUUGCAAAAACAAGUUACUCGAAAGAACGAGAAAAGCUCCAUUGCUUAACUAAGUUUGAGUUUGAUUCAUCAAGCGACAAACAAAGUACGUAAAAAAUUAAGAAGAUGAAAAUUAUGUUUUAUAGAGAAGAGAUUUGUAUCUGAAAAGAUCUGUUUAUUCUCUAGUAGAAUACCAUGUUUAUUCAAGCAAGUUUGCCUCCUUAAUUUUUAGGUUUAGGCUUUGCUCAUUACAGCUUAUAUAUUCUUAACAAAAUAUAUACCUCAUGCUUCUCUUAAUUAGCUUUCAAAUUCCUUUUCAAGUACUUCUUGGGUCCAUUCCUCCAGUUGCUUGUUUCUAAAUCUUUGGUUGUUCAUGUUAUUCGUACCGUAUGGGUCUAACUACAUCUAAAUUAUCAUCUUGUUCUUAGUUAUAUUUGUUUUUGGGUUAUGUGAAUUGCUAUAAAGGAUAUUGUUGUUAUGAUCCUUUGUCCAAAAAAGUUAUUAUUUCUCUGCAUGUCAUUUUUAAGGAAGAUCAUUUUCCAUAUAAUUCUCUCAUGGGAUAAUUUGUUUCCAAUUCAUACAAGGCACAAGAUUUUUCACAUCUUAAGGUUGAUUUAGUCACAUCGUCUUCUUCGCUGCCUUCCCUUGUUCCUCUACCCCCAUUUAUUGUUGUUUUUUACUCUUCAUAUGUUGAACCAUCUUCAUUCAAUGAAGUUGGCAAGCAUCAAUGCUGGUGCGAUGCUCUAUGAUAACUGAAUAUCAAGCUCUGCUCUCCAAUCAGACUUGGACUCUUGUUCCUCCUCCUUCCACACUUGUAAUAAAAUUGGUUGUCGAUGGGUUUAUAAGCAGAAACUAGGGGCAGAUGGCUCUCUUGAGAGAUACGAGGCUCGGUUAGUUGGCCAAUGAUAUAAUCAGCAAGCUGGGGUUGAUUUUGAUGAAACUUUUAGUCCUGUAAUUAAGCCUGUUACCAUUCGUACUAUUCUUAGUCUUACACUCUAUCAUGGCUGGGUAAUCCACCGGUUGAAUGUUAAAAAUACCUUUCUUCAUGGUCAUCUUAUUCAAACUAUCUUCAUACGGUAACCAUCUGGGUUUGUUCAUCUUUGUCAUCCCAAUUAUCUUUUUCACCUUUAUCAUGUCAUCUAUGGUCUCAAAUAGGCACCGAGAGCAUGAUUCACUCGUUUUACUGUGUUCUUAUACGUACGCUCAUGGUUUUACUUGUAGCCGUGCUGAUUAUUCCAUGUUUGUUUAUCGCAUGACCACUGAUAUGACAAUCUUGUUUUUUUAUAUGGAUAACAUUAUUCUUACAGCUUCCUCUUCACUCUUCUGAAGUUUGAAUUUGCCAUGAAUGAUUUGAGGGGCUCCAUUAUUUCUUGGACAUUGAAGUCUAUAAGAAUAUUGGUGAUCUGUUUUUAUCUCAAUCCAAGUAUGCCACUGAUUACUCUCUCAUGCUUCCAUUGGAAAUUCCAAACCUAUUUAUAUUAUAAGUACUUCCAUAUGUUAUUUGUCUCUUUUUGAAUGGCUCUCCAUUUAAAGACCCAACACUCUUUCGAAGCAUUGUUGGUGGUCUUUAGUACCUUACCUUCACACGUCCUGAUAUUGCUUCUGUUGUUAAUACAACUUGUUAGUUCAUGCAUGCUCCUCAUGAUGUUCAUUGGCAUGCCGUUAAAAGGAUUUUACGUUAUAUCAAAGUCUCCUGGGCAGCCAAAAAACAACAUAUGGUUUCAAGAAGCAGUACAGAAUCCUAGUAUCAACAUUGGACUUGUAUGUUUCACCUUGUCUACCCAUUGAAGUAUUUUGUGAUAAUAUCUCUACCACCUAUCUUGUUGUCAAUCCUGAUAAUCAUGCCCAGACUAAGCAUUUAGAGGUUGAUUUGCAUUCUGUUCGCGAACGGGUUGCUUGGGGAGAUAUCAAAGUCAAUUUUGUUUCCAGCAGUGAUCAAGUGGCUGAUAUUUUCACCAAAGGGCUCUCUUCUGCUCCAUUUGCCUGAUUAUGUGCCAAUAUAUAUGAGCAUUCUAGCAUCUCAUGCUCAAAUUGCCAAGGGGGGUGUAAUGGACAAUAGCAAUUUGUUAUCCUUAAUUUCAUGUUAGCUAUAUAUGGUAGUCUUGUAUUGUAUGUCAUACAAUAUAUUGCAAUUAAGGUAAGCUUAUAUAUUGGUUGUAUGGUCGUAUAAUGAUGAUAUAUACACAGAGAUAGCCCUCAUAUGGAGGUCAUCUCCUUCCAAAA